rnacentral:rRNA from 1 species
GCAAGUCGAACGCGAAACCCCGCAAGGGGUUAGUAGAGUGGCAAACGGGUGAGUAACGCGUGGGUGACCUGCCUUCGAGUGGGGGAUAACCUUCCGAAAGGAGGGCUAAUACCGCAUGACAUUCCGUGUUUGGAUACAUGGAAAUCAAAGCCGGGGAUCGCAAGACCUGGCGCUUGAAGAGGGACCUGCGUCCGAUUAGCUAGUUGGUGGGGUAACGGCUCACCAAGGCUCCGAUCGGUAUCCGGCCUGAGAGGGCGGACGGACACACUGGAACUGAGACACGGUCCAGACUCCUACGGGAGGCAGCAGUGGGGAAUUGUUCGCAAUGGGCGCAAGCCUGACGACGCAACGCCGCGUGGAGGAUGAAGACCUUCGGGUCGUAAACUCCUUUCGACCGAGAUGAAUUCUCGCCGACCUAAUACGUCGGCGGGGUGACAGUAUCGAGGGAAGCAGCCCCGGCUAACUCCGUGCCAGCAGCCGCGGUAAUACGGGGGGGGCAAGCGUUGUUCGGAAUUACUGGGCGUAAAGGGUUCGUAGGUGGCCGGCUAAGUCAGACGUGAAAUCCCUCAGCUUAACUGGGGAACUGCGUCUGAGACUGGUCGGCUCGAGGGCAGGAGAGGAACGCGGAAUUCCAGGUGUAGCGGUGAAAUGCGUAGAUAUCUGGAGGAACACCGGUGGCGAAGGCGGCGUUCUGGACUGCAUCUGACACUGAGGAACGAAAGCCAGGGGAGCAAACGGGAUUAGAUACCCCGGUAGUCCUGGCCCUAAACGAUGAAUGCUUGGUGUGGCGGGUAUCGAUCCCUGCCGUGCCGCAGUUAACGCGUUAAGCAUUCCGCCUGGGGAGUACGGUCGCAAGGCUG